UAAUAUGGAAAAAAACUGGAGUUGUCGUUCGUUUUACGUUGAUAGGAUAGAUAGUACACAACCUACAUUCAGUUGUAAGUGGAGGGUUAAAAAAAAAGGGGGGGGGCAAAAGGGGGUCUCGGGGAGAUUUUUUUUUUUUUUUAUUAACGGAACAGAAUGGUUAAAAAGGUUUUUUACAAUAUAAAUCAAUUGCUUUAAAAAAGCAAUUGUAGGGGGUCUUUCCCCCUUUAAAAUUAAUUGAAUUUGGGGGGGGGGGGUUUGUUUGUUUGUUUGUUUGUUUGUUUGUUUGUUUCUGUAUGGGGUCUAUAUUAUUGUUACCGGAGAAGUUUCAUGUUUAGUUUGGAAAGUUUUUCUUUUAUUUUAGGUACAGCGCGCGCGCCACAUCACGUGACACGGGUUUAUAAUAACGAAAAGAUAGUCUUUUUAUUCCUUUUUAGGUGGGGACUUUGAACAGACAACAUGUAUAGAGACGGAAUGCACACAAUGUAAUUUCUUUUGUCAUUGUAGGAAAUUGACAUUUUGAUGACAGUUCACAAACAGUGCAUGAUUUGGAUUUAUUUGAUCCGGUGUAACUUUAAAACACAUUUAUUGAUUAUUUUUCUGAUAAUGUACAUUUUUCAGCACCUGUUUGUAACACAGAUUAGUAUUUCAAUCUCGGAGCGGACAUUUUAUUGUAGGCUUUUACUGAAAUUUACGGACCUAGCAAGCAAUUUUUACGGCAUUGCAAUUUUUUUUCUCUAGGAAAAGCUUUGAGAGAUAUCUGCACCAAAUUUUUUUACAAACUUUUAGUACAUGUAUGCCCUGCUGACUGCAAAUUUUGAGGUCGAUUGUAUUUGUAGUUUCAGAGUACAUGUGGAUUUUUUUUUCAGAAGUGACGCAAGAACAAUAUUAAAUUUCAAUUUUUCAUGAAACAUGAUUGAUUGAUCAUGAAACAUGAUUGAUUGAUCAUGAUCAUGAUCAUUUUGAUUGAUGAUUGAUUGAUUGAUUGAUUGAUUGAUUAUUGGUUGGUUGGUUGGUUGGUUGGUAAAACACGUUGGAUAGGGCCAAUUGAAACAGCGAAAAAGAAACAAAAAAGAUCUUGGACCCUAUAUUAAACACACGAGACGGAAACAUGAUUGAUUGAUUGAUUGAUUGAUUGAUUGAUUGAUUGAUUGGUUGGUUGGUUGGUUGGUUGGUUGGUUGGUUGGUUGGUUGGUUGGUUAAACACGUUGGAUAGGGCCAAUUGAAACAGCGAAAAAGAAACAAAGAAGAUCUUGGACCCUAUAUUAAACACACGAGACGAGACGGAAACAUGAUUGAUUGAUCAUGAUUGAUUGAUUGAUUGAUUGAUUGAUUGAUUGAUUGAUUGAUUGAUUGAUUGAUUGAUUGAUUGGUUGGUUGGUUGGUUGGUUGGUUGGUUGGUUGGUUGGUUGGUUAAACACGUUGGAAAGGGUCAAUUGAAACAGCGAAAAAGAAACAAAGGAGAUCUUGAACCCUAUAUUAAACACAUGAGACGGAAACAUGAUUGAUUGAUUGAUUGAUUAAUCAUGAUCAUGAUUGGUUGAUUGAUUGAUCAUGAUCAUGAUUUGUUGAUUGAUCAUUAUUGAUUGAUCAUGAUUGGUUGGUUGGUUGGUUGGUUGGUUGGCAAACACACAUAAAAUUCUUCAAGUCGUGCCCCAAAUCACAUAUGUACAUGACCUUGACCUUUGACCUUGUGACCUUUGUCAAGGUCAUUGCUUCACAAUGUCAUUGCAAAAGACCCUAUGGGUCAAGGACCUUUUGUUUAAGAGUUUUGCCUAAUAAUGGCUUUUUAUAAACCAUCAAUGGGGGUUAUGUCCCUUACAUAAUGGUAAAACCAAUACAGUCAUAAUGUAACAAAGUUGCCCCUUGAAGUACUGAACAUUUUUCACUGCUUAAAUUUUCUGUAUCUAUAACCAUUCAAGAAUUAUAGGGAAAUCAAAGACAUAUGAAAAUCUAAAAUAUGACCUUGACCUUUGACCUUGACCUAAUUUUCUAAGUUAGGACCCAGGGGACUCAAAUAAAAACAUUCCAGGGUUAUACGGUUAACGGUUUAUGAGUUAAAAAAAACAUACCGACAAAUUUAUUCCGUAAAGGUACAUAACUCCUAUAAAAUUUCAUCGAAUCGCUUCGAUCCAAAUUAGCCAAAAAUUCCUGAGGAUGUAACGAACAAUUUGUAAAAAGAAUUUUGUCGCUUUCUUAUUUUGUUACGAAGGAGAUGCACACACAUGACAAACAGUGAAUAGGGAGAUAACUCUUACAAAGAAAAUGGUUCGGCUUAGCAGGGUGAAAUUUAAAAGCGCAUAAACUAUACGAUACAAUAUGAAAAAAAUCUAAGCGACAUAUUGCGAAACAAACAUUUAUCGCAAGAACAAAAUUUGGCGGAAAAAAAAAAAAUAAUAAUAAUAAUAAUAAUAAUCAGAACAAAUACAAUAGGCUUUCCACAGAAAAGUGGAAAGACCUAAUAAUAUGGAAAAAAACUGGAGUUGUCGUUCGUUUUACGUUGAUAGGAUAGAUAGUACACAACCUACAUUCAGUUGUAAGUGGAGGGUUAAAAAAAAGGGGGGGGGGCAAAAGGGGGUCUCGGGGAGAUUUUUUUUUUUUUUUUAUUAACGGAACAGAAUGGUUAAAAAGGUUUUUUACAAUAUAAAUCAAUUGUUUUAAAAAAGCAAUUGUAGGGGGUCUUUCCCCCUUUAAAAUUAAUUGAAUUUGGGGGGGGGGGUUUGUUUGUUUGUUUGUUUGUUUGUUUGUUUG
rnacentral:lncRNA from 1 species